AGCUCAAAUUUGAAAUCUGGCGUCCUCAGGGCGUCCGAGUUGUAAUCUAUAGAGGCGUUUUCCGUGCCGGACCGUGUCCAAGUUCCUUGGAACAGGAUAUCAAAGAGGGUGACAAUCCCGUACUUGACACGACGACCGGUGCUCUGUGAUACGUCUUCUACGAGUCGAGUUGUUUGGGAAUGCAGCUCAAAAUGGGUGGUGAGUUCCAUCUAAAGCUAAAUAUUGGCGAGAGACCGAUAGCGAACAAGUACCGUGAGGGAAAGAUGAAAAGCACUUUGGAAAGAGAGUUAAACAGUACGUGAAAUUGUUGAAAGGGAAACGAUUGAAGUCAGUCGUGACCGAGAGGCUCAGCCGGUUCUGCCGGUGUAUUCCCCUCGGUCGGGUCAACAUCAGUUUUGUCCGGUGGAUAAGGGCGGUAGGAAGGUGGCACCCUCGGGUGUGUUAUAGCCUGCCGUCGCAUACAUCGGGUGAGACUGAGGAACGCAGCUCGCCUUUAUGGCCGGGGUUCGCCCACGUCCGAGCUUAGGAUGUUGACAUAAUGGCUUUAAACGACCCGUCUUGAAACACGGA
rnacentral:rRNA from 1 species